rnacentral:rRNA from 1 species
GAUGAACGCUAGCGGCAGGCCUAACACAUGCAAGUCGAGGGGUAACUAGAGUGAUAGCAAUAUUACUUUGGCUAGACCGGCGCACGGGUGCGUAACACGUAUGCAACCUACCUUAUACUGGGGAAUAACUUCGAGAAAUCGGCGCUAAUACCCCAUAACAUUGCGAAGAGGCAUCUCUUUGCAAUUAAAGCUCCGGCGGUAUAAGAUGGGCAUGCGUCCAAUUAGCUAGUUGGUGAGGUAACGGCUCACCAAGGCUACGAUUGGUAGGGGUUCUGAGAGGAUGAUCCCCCACACUGGUACAGAGACACGGACCAGACUCCUACGGGAGGCAGCAGUGAGGAAUAUUGCGCAAUGGACGAAAGUCUGACGCAGCCACGCCGCGUGCAGGAUGACGGCCCUAUGGGUUGUAAACUGCUUUUGUACGGGAAUAAACCCUUCUACGUGUAGGAGGCUGAAGGUACCGUAAGAAUAAGCACCGGCUAACUCCGUGCCAGCCGCCGCAGUAA